rnacentral:tRNA from 1 species
GGGCCUGUGGCGCAAUUGGUAGCGUACCUCCAUGGCAUGGAGGGGGUUGUCGGUUCGAAUCCGAUCAGGUCCA